rnacentral:rRNA from 1 species
GAUGAACGCUGGCGGCGUGCCUAAUACAUGCAAGUCGAGCGAACAGAUGAGGAGCUUGCUCCUCUGACGUUAGCGGCGGACGGGUGAGUAACACGUGGAUAACCUACCUAUAAGACUGGGAUAACUUCGGGAAACCGGAGCUAAUACCGGAUAAUAUAUUGAACCGCAUGGUUCAAUAGUGAAAGACGGUUUUGCUGUCACUUAUAGAUGGCUCCGCGCCGCAUUAGCUAGUUGGUAAGGUAACGGCUUACCAAGGCAACGAUGCGUAGCCGACCUGAGAGGGUGAUCGGCCACACUGGAACUGAGACACGGUCCAGACACCAACAGUAGGCAGCAGUGGGGAAUCUUCCGCAAUGAGCGAAAGCCUGACGGAGCAACACCGCGUGAGUGAUGAAGGUCUUCGGAUCGUAAAACUCUGUUAUUAGGGAAGAACAAAUGGGUAAGUAACUAUGCACGUCUUGACGGUACCUAAUCAGAAAGCCACGGCUAACUACGUG